CUAAUACAUGCAAGUCGAGCGGAUCUUUCCUUCGGGAAAGGUUAGCGGCGGACGGGUGAGUAACACGUAGGCAACCUGCCUGUAAGAUCGGGAUAACUCACGGAAACGUGUGCUAAAACCGGAUAGGUGGUUUCUCCUCCUGGAGAGAUCAGGAAAGACGGCGCAAGCUGUCACUUACAGAUGGGCCUGCGGCGCAUUAGCUAGUUGGUGAGGUAACGGCUCACCAAGGCGACGAUGCGUAGCCGACCUGAGAGGGUGAACGGCCACACUGGGACUGAGACACGGCCCAGACUCCUACGGGAGGCAGCAGUAGGGAAUCUUCGGCAAUGGACGAAAGUCUGACCGAGCAACGCCGCGUGAGUGAUGAAGGUUUUCGGAUCGUAAAACUCUGUUGCCAGGGAAGAAGGAUGAGGAGAGUAACUGCUCUUCAUUUGACGGUACCUGAGAAGAAAGCCCCGGCUAACUACGUGCCAGCAGCCGCGGUAAUACGUAGGGGGCAAGCGUUGUCCGGAAUUAUUGGGCGUAAAGCGCGCGCAGGCGGUCUUUUAAGUUCGGUGUUUAAACCCAGGGCUCAACCUUGGGUCGCACUGGAAACUGGGAGACUGGAGUGUAGGAGAGGAAAGUGGAAUUCCACGUGUAGCGGUGAAAUGCGUAGAGAUGUGGAGGAACACCAGUGGCGAAGGCGACUUUCUGGCCUAUAACUGACGCUGAGGCGCGAAAGCGUGGGGAGCAAACAGGAUUAGAUACCCUGGUAGUCCACGCCGUAAACGAUGCAUGCUAGGUGUUAGGGGUUUCGAUACCCUUGGUGCCGAAGUAAACACAUUAAGCAUGCCGCCUGGGGAGUACGCUCGCAAGAGUGAAACUCAAAGGAAUUG
rnacentral:rRNA from 1 species